UACGGAGGGAGCUAGCGUUGUUCGGAAUUACUGGGCGUAAAGCGCGCGUAGGCGGCUUUGUAAGUUAGAGGUGAAAGCCCGGGGCUCAACCCCGGAACUGCCUUUAAGACUGCAUCGCUUGAAUCCGGGAGAGGUGAGUGGAAUUCCGAGUGUAGAGGUGAAAUUCGUAGAUAUUCGGAAGAACACCAGUGGCGAAGGCGGCUCACUGGCUCGUAACUGACGCUCAGGCGCGACAGCGUGGGGAUCAAACAGG
rnacentral:rRNA from 1 species